GGUGAACCUGCGGAAGGAUCAUUC
rnacentral:ncRNA from 5 species